CUGCUCUGGCCCUCCUUACACCACUUCCUCUUGAAGGUUCCCCAAGAGCAGACAGGUUUGUGUGGACGCCAGUUCUCUCCCACCCGUUGCCCUUGCUGACCGUCCAGGAGACCCGCCCUGAAGCCAGGCACGUCUCCGUGGGCAGAAGUGAGCCUCCCAGGACUCCACAGGGAACCCACCUGGCUUCCUCUGACCAGUGCCCCUGCCUCACAGAGCAUCGCCCUCUGUCCACUCCCCUCGGGUCUCUGCACUAAGCUCAUGUCCCAAGGCCUAUGAGGACCUGCUGGGGGAAGUGGGUAAUAGGAAAUGGACUCAAGGCCAGUGCGCUGAAGGAAAGCACCCCCAACUCGCCUGGGCUCAGAUUGGGCACUGUUUUCACAUCCUCUGGAUCACACUGAAUCUAUUCUCGGUCAUCACUCGAAGGCCUGACACAUUUGACAAGCAGUCGACUCGGGUCCAUCCGUGCUGCAGCGAGACAUGAGCCUCGUCACUCAGACAUCUUACAUGCACAUGCCAGGGGCACCGAGCUCGUCCACAGUGCUGAACGGCCCCCACGGCCAUCCUCUGCCACAUCUUUCUCAAGUUCCCAAGCUGCCAUUCUGUCCACGUUGAAAGAUAACUGCCCUCUGCCCCCCCCCCCCAGCCUCCUCUCUCUGCCUCUCUUUGCCUUCUGUCCCCGUGACUUGGACUUGCACAGUGAAGACGUGAAUCGUGCAGUAUUUGUCCUGUGGCCAGCUGACUCCACUUAGCAACAUCCUCCACGUCCAACCAGGAAGCAGGGGCCAGAAGGUCCCUCCUUGGUAGGACUGAAUCCUACUCCCCUGUAUGGGGGGGCCACAUUUUGCUUAUCCAUUUAUCUCCAUGGACACCUGGGUUAUUUCUGCUUUCUGGCUCUUGAGAAGGCUGCUGCCGUGAAUGUUGGUGAAAUCAUCUCUCCGUGUCCCUGCUCCCCGCUCCAUCGGGCACACACCCAGACAGGGAAUCCCUGGAUCAGGAGGGAACUCUGUGUUUAAUGUUUUCUAGUUUUCAUCAGUGCAUUGCAGUUAGACAUAGAGUGGGGUUCAUUUGGUCAUAAUUUCACCUCUGUGAAAAAAAUUGCUCCAUUUCAGUCCCUAAUAUCUCCUCUUUCCCUCCCCUCUCCCUCUGCUCAUCUGGCCUUCCUUCUACUUAGUGGUUGCUUUGUAGCCGGUGCUCUCUGUGGAAUCCACUGUGGUGCGUUCAUCAUCCACAGUGUAAUGUGGCCGACUUCUUUCUGAGUUAUUCCCUUUUCCUGUUCCUCCUGCUGUCUCCCUCAGCCCACCUCCUCUCCUCCACUGACCUCCUUUCUAUUGUCAUGGGAUCCUCCCUUGUUUUGCUCUAGUUUCCACCUUAGAGAGAAAAUAUUCCACCCUCGGCUUUCUGAAUCUGGCUUGUCUCACUCGGCAUGAUGUUCUCCAGCUCCAUCCACUGAUCAGCAAGUGCCACCAUU